GACGAACGCUGGCGGCGUGCCUAAUACAUGCAAGUAGAACGCUGAAGAGAGGAGCUUGCUCUUCUUGGAUGAGUUGCGAACGGGUGAGUAACGCGUAGGUAACCUGCCUUGUAGCGGGGGAUAACUAUUGGAAACGAUAGCUAAUACCGCAUAACAAUGGAUGACACAUGUCAUUUAUUUGAAAGGGGCAAUUGCUCCACUACAAGAUGGACCUGCGUUGUAUUAGCUAGUAGGUGAGGUGAUGGCUCACCUAGGCGACGAUACAUAGCCGACCUGAGAGGGUGAUCGGCCACACUGGGACUGAGACACGGCCCAGACUCCUACGGGAGGCAGCAGUAGGGAAUCUUCGGCAAUGGGGGCAACCCUGACCGAGCAACGCCGCGUGAGUGAAGAAGGGUUUCGGAUCGUAAAGCUCUGUUGUAAGUCAAGAACGGGUGUGAGAGUGGAAAGUUCACACUGUGACGGUAGCUUACCAGAAAGGGACGGCUAACUACGUG
rnacentral:rRNA from 1 species